ensembl:lncRNA
AAAGCAGGAACUUAGUUUUCAGGGAUGGGUUCACUGAGUAUAUACAUUAUUUCUUGGUAAAGCCAUCCUAUCAUUCUGCCACUCAGAAGGAUUUCUACCCUCUGACCUCCUUUCAUAUCCCAAAUACCACCCCAUUAAGGGGGAGGGGACAAUGAGAGAGAAGGAAAACAAGAGAAGCACUAUCCAAAAAUAAGAAGAGAGCUCUGGAAAAGACACUUGACAGUAUCUUUUAUACAAAUUAUAAACCAGCCACAGAUUCCUAGGCACCUAGAAUGGACCUCCCCUUUCUGGUCCACCUAAGUAAUCCCUGUAUUGCUCAAAAGUCACUUCUUAGAAGCACUGCCUAAUUCUUCCCUCUCCCAGGUCAAGUGCCACACACUCACCUCCUUUAGAAUACUUAAGUGGCUAUACUGCCACCAUGACCUGUGCAACUCCACUUGGCUGUAAGCAAAUCAAAGGAAUUAUGCCUUCACAAUCUCAGAAUGCUCAGAACAUGAAAACCACAGUGUUCUCCUUUAAAAGAGCUCAUACACCUGAAAAGAAAAAGGAGACACAUAAUUGUCUUUCAAGUUAAAAGAAAAGCUUCUUUAAUAGAAAGUAGCUUUCGGAGUUCCUGUCGUGGCGCAGUGGUUAAUGAAUUCGACUAGAAACCAUGAGGUUGCGGGUUCGAUCCCUGGCUCGUUACUGCUGGCCACAAUAAAAACUUCCCUUUUCACUACGAUAAACCAGAAAAUUAUGUCUCCAGCCCUGCAAAGAACUUCAAGGCAAUUUCUCCCAAAUAACUACAGGUAAGUAUCAAAGAUGUCUAUAAAAAAAGGCAUUUUCAACACCAAUUACCUAUUUAUGUAAUGAUUAUGAACUUGGUAUAAUUCUAGCAGACAUUAAAGAAAUACAAGACUGUCCCUGUUAUUACUUGUUUAAGUUGACUCUUCUGCUCAUGUCACAAUCACUUGCUACAGCAAUCAUCUGUCUACACUAUCUAAAAUUUCUUUGAAGUAUUUGCAUGGAGCAGUUAUUCUUAAAGUCUGGUCCCUGUGAGGGCCCCUGAGAUCCUUUCACUCUGACAGCUAACAGAGUGUGUGCAUGCACAUUCUUGUGUUCAAAGACACUAUAGGUUUUAAUUUCUAAUACCAUAAACAGUGAUAUGUAUGACACACCUAAAUGAGAGCUCUUUGGUGUCCUCAGAAUUUUUAAGGGAGCUCUGAGAGCAAAAAGUUUAACAAUAAUUUAUAUACAGUAAUAAUGGCUCCCUCACAAUGAACAUCUGGUUAAAUGAGUUCCUCAGUAGAAAGAUUUCCCCUAUGUGAUGCUAACUGUUUGCAUUUCUGUAAUAAUUACUGAUGUUGAACUUUUUUUUUUUGCAGUAACUAACUCAUCAAGGGCAAAGUCAGUAUGUGUCUUUUUAGGUAUUCUGUAGAUGGAGAUGAGUCUUGUGUUGCUUCAGUCAUUUCCUUUUCAGCAAUGUAAAUCUAGUAACAAAAUGUGAAGAUGAAAUAUUCAGUACCUGUUACAUACCUUUAUGCAGAAAGGCCUGGUAUUCAUAAAUAUAUGCUCACCAAGGAAGACUUACAACUACUUAUCAUAUGAGUUCUCAUUAUGAAUAUCUCUGUAAAAUUCUGUGGGAAUGUUCACCCAAAACACUGUCUGAGUCAGAAACUAGCUAUAAAGAACUUAUAAGUAGCCCUGAAGUCUAGGUCAGAUCC